rnacentral:rRNA from 1 species
AGAGCGAACGCUGGCGGCAGGCUUAACACAUGCAAGUCGAGCGCCCCGCAAGGGGAGCGGCAGACGGGUGAGUAACGCGUGGGAACGUACCUUUGGUUCGGAACAACACAGGGAAACUUGUGCUAAUACCGGAUAAGCCCUUACGGGGAAAGAUUUAUCGCCGAAAGAUCGGGGCCCGCGUCUGAUUAGCUAGUUGGUGAGGUAACGGCUCACCAAGGCGACGAUCAGUAGCUGGUCUGAGAGGAUGAUCAGCCACAUUGGGACUGAGACACGGCCCAAACUCCUACGGGAGGCAGCAGUGGGGAAUAUUGGACAAUGGGCGCAAGCCUGAUCCAGCCAUGCCGCGUGAGUGAUGAAGGCCCUAGGGUUGUAAAGCUCUUUUAACGGGGAAGAUAAUGACGGUACCCGUAGAAUAAGCCCCGGCUAACUUCGCGCCAGCAGCCGC